rnacentral:rRNA from 1 species
UCCUAAGGUAGCGCGUAAUUUGCUUUCCAAUUGAAGGAUGGUAUGAAAGGGUUAACGAAGAAGGUGCUGUGUCUAAAAAUUCAAUUUAAACUAACUUUAAGGUGAAGAGGCCUUUAUGUAAAAGAAGGACGACAAGACCCUAUGAAGCUUUAUCUUAAUUGGAGCUCUCAGGCUCUUAUACGAUUUUGAUGGGAGAUCAGUAGAAAUAAAUCUUCUACUAUCAUAUUAAUCUUACUAGUAUUUCCUAACUUUAUAUGUGUGGCUAGCUACUCUAGGGAUAACAGCGCAAUUUCUCCCGAAAGAUGGUAUUGGAGGGGAAGAUUGCGCCUCGAUGUUGGCUUUAGAUAUCCUAGAGGCGUAGAAGCUUCUGAU